rnacentral:rRNA from 1 species
UACGGAGGGUGCAAGCGUUGUUCGGAAUUACUGGGCGUAAAGCGCGUGUAGGCGGUCGCUUAAGUCUGAUGUGAAAGCCCGGGGCUCACCUCCGGAAGAGCAUUGGAAACUGAGCGACUCGAGUGCCGGAGAGGAGGGUGGAAUUCCUGGUGUAGCGGUGAAAUGCGUAGAGAUCGGGAGGAACAUCCGUGGCGAAGGCGACUACCUGGACCAGCACUGACACUGAGGCACGAAAGCGUGGGGAGCAAACAGG